AGCGUAUAUUAAAGUUGUUGCAGUUAAAAAGCUCGUAGUUGAAUUUCGGGAUUAUCACGCUGGUCGUGCCUUCGGUACGUACUGGCGUUACUGAUUCCUCCCUUCUGACGAACCGUCAUGUCAUUAAUUUGAUGUGGCGGGGAAUCAGGACUGUUACUUUGAAAAAAUUAGAGUGUUUAAAGCAGGCA
rnacentral:rRNA from 1 species